CCGCAACAGUCCUUUACGGGCCAGACCCGCGGUCCAGAUUCAUGAUUAUCAUAUCUUAUUCCCACCCGACUGACUUAAAACAUAUAAUUGCGGGAUCCUUAUAAAUAUGUAUAUAACAUAGUUAUAUGUUAACUUUGGUGUGCUGACACACAUUAGAUUCGAAACCUAUGUUAUUUUAUAAUCUCAUUCGCCGUACAUGAACAUGAGAUUGGACACGACAUCUCCUAUUGAUAAUAUAACCUGCAAAAUAAAACUCGCGAUGUUAGUUGCAAACACACAAACAUAUAUUACAACGAUAGGAAGCAACAUAUUUUCGCUCCAUAAUGACAAAGUUGCUAAACCUGCAAAUAAAGUGGUCAUUUGUUCAGGGGAAAUACGUAGAGUCACAUAUAAUUUGUUCGUGCUAAAAUAUAUAGCGUCACAUAUAUGGACAUUUACUUAUCAAAUUAUCAUAGGAAGUUGUAUAUUCUUCAUUGCAAUGUUCUUUACGAAUUAAAACAUGCAGUAUUUUCAGAUGAUGUUGACAUAGCCUCUAAAUCUAUACAUAUAGAGGCUUUUUUUUUUUAUCAUGAUUGCAAAUAUUGGCUAAGUAGUAUUCAUUGAUAUUUUGAUGAUAAUUUGUCUACAUCCAAUUUCAAAGUCGCUGGAUAAAUAUUUAUUCCAGUUGUUUAUGCGCCUAAAUUUCGACGUUAAUGUGCUAAUUAGUAGUGAUAGUUGAAAUCAUGUUCUUACUAUGAUUUAGACGACAAGUUUUUUGGAAACUCCAUAGGUUCAUAUUAGCAUUUAUGUGAUUACUUGGUAUAUAAUAGGAAACAAAAUAUAUUCAAUAUAUGCACUACAAGAAAACAACGGUAUUCUGACGGACAUUCCGACGGAAAAUAAAAUCCUCGGAAUAUCCCGAGGAAUUUCCGAGGAAAUUCCGAGGAAACACAAAAUUUGGUUUCCUCGGAAUUUCUCGAUCCAUCGAUGGGAUAAUCUAAUCGAUCGAUCACAUUGUUACGCUUUGGUCCAUCUUAGUGAUCGAUCGAUGCGUUUUCGGAUAUAUAUCCAUCAAUCGAUCCGUUUAUAAAAAAACUUAUAAGAUUUUCCGAGGACAUUCCGAGGAACGCUUGAGAUUCUCGAUCGAUCGAUGGGAUAAUCUAAUUGAUCGAUCACAUUGUUACGCUUUGGUCCAUCUUAGUGAUCAAUCGAUGCGUUUUUGGAUAUAUAUACAUCGAUCGAUCCGUUUAUAAAAAAACGUACGAGAUUUUGAUAAAACAAUAAACAAGCAUACUGUUCUUAAAACUAGUGAUGUAAUGUUUUGGAUACCUAGCACGCAAAAUAUAAUAUAUAAAUAUAUAUUAUAUUUAAAAUGAAAAUAUAUUAUGACUAAAGUAGUUACAAAGAUUUUAUAUUAUUAGCUUUAAAAAACUACAUCUUAAUUUUUAUACAUGUAUUAUAUAGUUUGCUAAUGUUAACCCAUCUUGCCAACGUAUUAGAUUUUAUUUUUGAACAUAAAUAUUUUAUACUUACGAAAAUAAAAUUUAUAAAAUUUAUAAAUUUAAUACAAUUUUAUUAUAUUUAGCUCAAUAUAAUACUUUUCUUUUAAUACGAUUGAUUAUGAUUAUAUAAUAGAUAAAAUAUUAUAGAAUUAUUUUAUUUUUCAUUUUAUAAACGAUAACUGAAUAUACUAAUGUAUAAUAAUAUUUCAAACUAAUUUCAAAAUUAGUGAAAAUAUUUAAAUAUAAUUUCGAAAAUGAAGAUCUUGUAAAAAUAUUUUAAAAAAGAUUUGUUAGAAUUUUAAAAUAAAUAUAUUUACAUUUAAAAUGAAAAGAUAUCAAAAGAUAUUAUUAUUUAUUUAUUUUUUUUUAUUUUUUUUUUCAAAAGAUAUUAUGAUUAAAGUAUUUUAAAGAUUCUAUGUAUUAUCAGUCUUAUAAAAAUAUAUUUAAUAAGAUUUCUAAGUGAUAGUCCAAAUUAAAAAAUCACACAUGAAAGAAGUCAUGACUUCUAUUUUAAUAUAUAAGAUUUUAUUAAUUAUUUUGUGUUGCAUACGUAAGCAUUUGCAAAACGUUUUGGUUCAGAGUUUGAGAAUUUGGUGUUUGGGCAGGUCCAUUACACGGCUAGGUUUGCAGAUGGAACGUUGUUUGACAGUACAUAUAAGCGUGCAAGACCACUUACUAUGCGGAUUGGUGUGGGCAAGGCAAUAACCUAACCCAAUGAUUAUCUUAGUUAGUUAGAUUAUAAAAAAAAUAUCUUAGUUAGAUUACAUUCUCUUCAAAGUUUAGAGGUGUGCUAAGCUGGAUUUAAUUAUUUUAAUUUGAUGUACUGAGAAAUAAAAUGAUGUUACUCUUUGUGAUUAUUAGGUUAUAAGGGGUCUAGACCAAGGGAUUCUUGGAGGCGAAGGAGUACCUCCUAUGCGAGUAGGCAAGUAGUAUUCUAAUUUUCGUACGUUCGGAGUAUGUGUCUUUUAUUAGGCUGAAACCAAUGUUUUAUUUACAGGGGGAAAGCGCAAACUUCAGAUUCCACCUAAGUUAGCUUAUGGACCAGAGCCUGCAGGAUGCUUUUCCGGUACUUCCCAAACCAUUCUUUGUAUAUGUGUUUCUGCUCUAUGCUCCUAGCAAUGAUUUAUAUAAUUGGGACUGUCGUAUUGGUUAAUGCAGGUGACUGUAACAUACCUGGCAAUGCAACUUUGCUAUAUGAUAUCAAUUUUGCCUCGGUAUAUUCCGAACGUUUUUUUAUAAACGGAUCGAUCGAUGGAUAUAUGUCCAAAAACGCAUCGAUCGAUGAACUUCCGAGGAAAUAUCCCGACGAAGUUCUCCCUCGGUAUAUUCCGAGGAGAUUUCCGACAAACUAGUGAUCCUCGGAAUUUCCUCGGAAAUUUGUUUCCUCGGAAUUCCGUCGGAAAAUUCCGAGGGAUUUCCGAGGAAAGAAGAAAUUCCGAAGAAUUAUUUCCGAGGACUUGUUUCGUCGGUAUGUCGUCGGAAUAACGUUAUUCCGAUGAAAUUCCGACGAUUUUUUCUCUCAGUAUCCUUGCUGUUUUCUUGUAGUGAUGGUGAUACAUUAUUUAUGCAUAUUCACAUAACUAGAGGCCCAAUUGAUUGAUUUUUUUUAAUAUUUCUAUAUUCUCACAUGAUUGUAAUCCCGAGAUUAUAUCAAGGUAAAGAUGAAUAUUGUGCUAAUCACGCAAAUGUAUAGAAAUGGAAAGUCGACUCCAAUUAUAUGAGCAAUUAUUUUGGUUUAAUUGAGAACGUGUACCGUAGAUUUGUACCAUAGGGGAUAUGCUUAAAUUUUUAAAUUUAAAAUCUAAGACUCAUGUAAUAAGUAUCAUAUAUCUAAACUAUUAAAACUGAAGUACAAUUAGUACUUAACCUUAAUUUUUCUUAAUAAUUACCAUUGAAUGCUAUUGUUUCUUAACCUAAUAAUAAUCUUGGGCAGGUUUUUACUACUAGAUAUCGCUGACUGAAGUCCAUUACUUAUGAUUAAAAAUAAUUAUUGGGCCGGAAUAUGAUUAUAUCUUAUACUUAAGUAAUCUUGGCAGGCUUUUACUACUAUAUACACCACUUCCUAUCAACUCAAUUCCUAUCAACUCAAUUCACAAUCACAUUAUCAAAUCACCGGAGGCAAUGGUAAAAAAGUAGUUACACUCCUUAAGGAUGCAAAACAAUGGAAAACCGGUUGCCGAAUCCGUGUUAAGCUGAUUCACUCUUGAAAAACCAUGGAAGAUUUUAAAUUAAAAUGAAUAAUACCAAAGUCAUAAAUUAUAAAGUUCAGAAACUAAAAACAUUGAAAAAGGUAUACAUGCCAAAAAAAUAAAACGUAUGCAAUGAAAAACAUGAACAAGAACAAUCGAAUUGAGUGCAUUCUCAAAUGUUAGUCAAGUAUAAUUUAAAAAAAAACAAAUGCCUGGGCUCGCGGGUCCAAAUCUAGUUAUUCAUUAAUUACUAAACAUGCAGGGUUGUACUGUAUAAACAAGUCUACACCUUGAUCAAAAAUGCAUUCCAAGUUACAAUUCUCUCUAAACAUUCAUUUUUAGUUCUUUGUUGUUUAUACUCAAAUUGUUGGGAUGCCGAACAUUAAAGGACCACCAUCAUCGUUGUGGAAAAUAAUAUGUAGGAGGUUACCAAGAAGGUUGUAAUUUUUCUAUAAGUUUAUAUUUCCGUCUCUUAAUUACAAGAAAAUAGUAUGUCUAAACCCAUAUUAAAUUAGUUACCAAGAAGGUUGUAAUUUUGCUAUAAGUUUAUAUGUCUGUCUCUUAAUUGCAAGCAAAUAGUAUGUCUAACCUUUGUUUUUGCAUUUCAAUCCUUCGGUUUCUUCUGUUUUUCCACCUCUGUUUUUAGUUUGGUGUAUUCCCUUCCUUUUCAAGCUCUUACGGACAUGAUAAGACCUCCAACAAUUUUGUUAUCCUGUCAAUUGAAGACUGUCCGUUUUUUAAUAUGUAAGUAGUAUCUCCAUCAACGAAAGAAGUAAACUAAGUGAAUCAAAGUACGAAUCGGAACCCAAGAAGACAAAUAAAUAAGAAUAUAAUUCACCUGGAUUACUCGGUUGAUGACCAAGUGAAGAUUUUUGUUCUGUCGAUUGCAGAACUUUUUAGAACCCCAAUCCUCUUUUGUUUUCUUUUACACCCUCGAAACAUCUGAUGAUCCCAAUAGCAUUAGCUUC
rnacentral:lncRNA from 1 species